rnacentral:rRNA from 1 species
UACAGAGGUGGCAAGCGUUGUUCGGAAUUACUGGGCGUAAAGGGCGCGUAGGCGGCCUUCUAAGUCGGACGUGAAAGCCCCAGGCUUAACCUGGGAACUGCGUCCGAUACUGGAAGGCUUGGAUUCGGGAGAGGGAUGUGGAAUUCCGAGUGUAGAGGUGAAAUUCGUAGAUAUUCGGAAGAACACCAGUGGCGAAGGCGGCUCACUGGACUGGUAUUGACGCUGAGGUGCGAAAGCGUGGGGAGCAAACAGG